rnacentral:lncRNA from 1 species
GACCCGAGGGGGGCCCCCACGCCCGCUCUGGCCUCUCAGGCUGAGGCACCUAGGGAGUUGCCCCCCUAGUGGACGGCCUCUCAGGAGAUCCUGACCACCCUCUGGGAACCUGGACUCCUCCAAGCAUCGUCUUUCUCGCCUGCAUCUUCGGAGAGAGGUGCUGAGCCCUUCCUCAUGGAUACGGGGUCCCGGGAGGCAGCCUUCACCAGGGACCUGCCCAGGAAACCAGCAGAUGCCCAGCUGUAGCUGUGCAUUGAUGGCGCCGUGCGGCCCGGCCGCAGGUCCCGCAGCCGUGGAGAGGACCCAGCAGGUGGCGCGGGGAGAGCCCGGCUCGGCACGUGGUCAGCUCCAAGUCAGCCCUGAAAUGUCCAUUACUCACAAAGAAAAGGAAAAUGCUCAUUUGAAAGAAAUUCUUCUCUUUGUCAAUGCUGAGGCAUUCUCUCAGCCCCAGCCCCACAGUGCUCCAGUGUGUGAAGGGCAACAGCUGACGGGGAAGUUCAGCACAUCUGUGCUGACCAGGGCUGGAGGCGAUGCCAGUCCGUGCAGCUGGGAACGCCUCCUCUGCUAUGGCUGGAGCCACUGCUGAAGGGACUCCACCUGGCACCUAUGCCACCAAUGGCCCCUGAACGGGUAUCUAGGCCCACCCUUAAUAAAGAUGAGCUGCUCAUUCCCA